AUUGAACGCUGGCGGCAGGCUUAACACAUGCAAGUCGAGCGGGGAAAGGUAGCUUGCUACCUGACCUAGCGGCGGACGGGUGAGUAAUGCUUAGGAAUCUGCCUAUUAGUGGGGGACAACAUCUCGAAAGGGAUGCUAAUACCGCAUACGUCCUACGGGAGAAAGCAGGGGACCUUCGGGCCUUGCGCUAAUAGAUGAGCCUAAGUCGGAUUAGCUAGUUGGUGGGGUAAAGGCCUACCAAGGCGACGAUCUGUAGCGGGUCUGAGAGGAUGAUCCGCCACACUGGGACUGGGACACGGCCCAGACUCCUACGGGAGGCAGCAGUGGGGAAUUUUGGACAAUGGGGGGAACCCUGAUCCAGCCAUGCCGCGUGUGUGAAGAAGGCCUUUUGGUUGUAAAGCACUUUAAGCGAGGAGGAGGCUACCGAGAUUAAUACUCUUGGAUAGUGGACGUUACUCGCAGAAUAAGCACCGGCUAACUCUGUG
rnacentral:rRNA from 1 species